rnacentral:rRNA from 1 species
CCUACGGGUGGCAGCAGUGAGGAAUAUUGGUCAAUGGGCGAGAGCCUGAACCAGCCAAGUCGCGUGAGGGAGUACUGCCCUAUGGGUUGUAAACCGCUUUUGUCCGGGAGCAACAGCCGGACGUGUCCGGCUGUGAGAGUUACCGAAGAAAAAGCAGCGGCUAACUCCGGGCCAGCAGCCGCGGGAAUACGGAGGAUGCGAGCGUUUUCCGGGUUUACUGGGGGUAAAGGGGUCGUAGACGGCAGCACAAGUCCAGAGGGAAAUGCCGGGGCUUAACCCCGGAACUGCCUUGGAAACUGUGCGGCUGGAGUGCAGGAGAGGUAAGCGGAAUUCCUAGUGUAGCGGUGAAAUGCGUAGAUAUUAGGAGGAACACCGGUGGCGAAGGCAGCUUACUGGCCUGUAACUGACGUUGAGGCUCGAAAGCGUGGGGAGCAAACAGGAUUAGAUACCCCAGUAGUC